GGUCUAGUGGCCCAAUGGCAAGGCGUUUGACUACGACAGCGUUGUUAUCAAAAGAUUGCAGGUUCGAUCCCUGCCUAGAUCA